rfam:Picea glauca, whole genome shotgun sequence.
GCUGGGAUAGAUCAGUUGGUAGAGAAAAGGACUGAAAAUCCUUAUGCCACCAGUUCAAAUCGGGUUCCUAGAA